rnacentral:rRNA from 1 species
CUACGGGAGGCUGCAGUGGGGAAUAUUGCACAAUGGGCGCAAGCCUAAUGCAGCCAUGCCGCGUGUGUGAAGAAGGCCUUCGGGUUGUAAAGCACUUUCAGCGGGGAGGAAGGCGUUUAGGUUAAUAACCUUGGCGAUUGACGUUACCCGCAGAAGAAGCACCGGCUAACUCCGUGCCAGCAGCCGCGGUAAUACGGAGGGUGCAAGCGUUAAUCGGAAUUACUGGGCGUAAAGCGCACGCAGGCGGUCUGUCAAGUCGGAUGUGAAAUCCCCGGGCUCAACCUGGGAACUGCAUUCGAAACUGGCAGGCUAGAGUCUUGUAGAGGGGGGUAGAAUUCCAGGUGUAACGGUGAAAUGCGUAGAGAUCUGGAGGAAUACCGGUGGCGAAGGCGGCCCCCUGGACAAAGACUGACGCUCAGGUGCGAAAGCGUGGGGAGCAAACAGGAUUAGAUACCCUAGUAGUC